AGUGAACGCUGGCGGUAGGCCUAACACAUGCAAGUCGAACGGCAGCACAGUAAGAGCUUGCUCUUACGGGUGGCGAGUGGCGGACGGGUGAGGAAUACAUCGGAAUCUACUUUUUCGUGGGGGAUAACGUAGGGAAACUUACGCUAAUACCGCAUACGACCUACGGGUGAAAGCAGGGGAUCUUCGGACCUUGCGCGAUUGAAUGAGCCGAUGUCGGAUUAGCUAGUUGGCGGGGUAAUGCCCACCAAGGCGACGAUCCGUAGCUGGUCUGAGAGGAUGAUCAGCCACACGGGAACUGAGACACGGUCCAGACUCCUACGGGAGGCAGCAGUGGGGAAUAUUGGACAAAGGGCGCAAGCCUGAUCCAGCCAUACCGCGUGGGUGAAGAAGGCCUUCGGGUUGUAAAGCCCUUUUGUUGGGAAAGAAAAGCAGCAGGUUAAUACCCCGCUGUUCUGACGGUACCCAAAGAAUAAGCACCGGCUAACUUCGUG
rnacentral:rRNA from 1 species